UUUUUGUGUAGGGAUGUAUAAGUACCCGGCCACGUCCACUUGUAUUUUUGUCCAUCUGAUGAGUUAAGCCUUUUUCAACUGAUUUUUAUAUAGUUUUUUCUUAUGUUGUACUGUUAUACCACUGUCACAGGUUAGGGGAGGGUUGGGAUCCCGCUAACAUGUUUAACCCCGCCACAUUAUUUUUAUGUAUGUGCCUGUGUCCAGUCCAGUCAGGAGCCUGUAAUUCAGUGGUUGUCGUUUGUUUAUGUGUUACAUAUUUGUUUUUCGUUCAUUUAUUUAUAUAAAUAAGGCCGUUAGUUUUCUCGUUUGAAUUGUUUUACAUUGUCUUAUCGGGGCCUUUUAUAGCUGACUAUGCGGUAUGGGCUUUGCUCAUUGUUGAAGGCCGUACGGUGACGUUUAGUUGUUAAUGUCUGAGUCAUUUUGGUCUCUUGUGGACAGUUGUCUCAUUGGCAAUCAUACCACAUCUUCUUUUUUAUAUUUGUUCAUUGUUAAGGCUGUAGGGUGACCUUGAGUUGUUAAUUUCUGUUUCAUUUGGUCUCUCAUGGGGAGUUGUCCAAUCAUACCCAUCUUCUUUUUUUAUAUUGUCCUAUGUACUAUGAAAAUAAAGUAAGAUGAAA
rnacentral:lncRNA from 1 species